rnacentral:rRNA from 1 species
UACGAAGGGGGCUAGCGUUGCUCGGAAUGACUGGGCGUAAAGGGCGCGUAGGCGGCUUGCACCGUCAGAUGUGAAAUUCCUGGGCUUAACCUGGGGGCUGCAUUUGAUACGUGUGGGCUUGAGUGCGGAAGAGGGUCGUGGAAUUCCCAGUGUAGAGGUGAAAUUCGUAGAUAUUGGGAAGAACACCGGUGGCGAAGGCGGCGACCUGGUCCGUGACUGACGCUGAGGCGCGAAAACGUGGGGAGCAAACAGG